CUGAUUCAGUAGGCCUAGAAUGGGAUCUGAGGUUUUGCACUUCUAACAAACUUCCAGGUACCAAGGAUGCUAUUGUUCCCCCACCACGCUCUGAAUAAUGAGGAAGAAUCUAGAACCUAGUAAUGAGUAGGGAGGGACAAUGGCAUGUGCCUUUACCUCAGCAUCACAGAAAAACAUCUGAAAACUCAACCAGAAGCCACCUGCCAUCUGGAAUCUCUUAUCUUUUAACAUAACAGCUCUCUGACAUUCUGAUGCCAAUAACUGACUUACACCCAACCACAGGCAGAAGUCAUAACCUCUGGAAAUAUUUCUUUGUCUGGAACCCUGAUGGAUAUUGGUCAAAUAGUCAGAGAAGGAACAAUACAGCCAAAGAGAAUGCCAGAAGACUCAUUUCCUGACUAGACAAUAACCAUCCUGUCCUAAGCUUAGCCGAGUACACAGCGUAUCAUUUCAAUUGUUGCAUGAGUGAUGGCGUUCUUUGGCUACUGAACAAAUGCUGCACAGUGGGAUAAGGAAAUGGAUGGAGCAAUCAUUUGUUCAGAUUGGGAGAAAAAAUACGUGAACUCCUCCAUACAAGUCUUUCUUACCUUCACCUUUUCUACACACAUGUAUGUUCGGGGGAAAGAAAAGUUAGAGACGAAAGAAAAGUUAGAGACGUAAGAAAAUCCUCUUUGCAGCAAAUAAAACAGUGUUUAACCUC